CCGUGAGAUCCGGACCUGAGCAGAAAUCAAGAGUUGGACACCUGUAUCUUCACAUGGCACCCUGAACUUCCUGCCCUCAAGACUUAUCAUCAGUGAAUGAAUACUGGAGAGAAACCUUACAAAUUCAAAGAAUGUGGUAAAACUUUAUGGCUUAUCACUAAAUGAACAUAGGAGAAUCCAUACUGGGGAAAAAACUUACCAAAGUAAAGAAUGUGGCAAGGCUUUUAACAGUCACUCAAACCAUAUUCAACAUCAAAGAAUUCAUACUAAAGAGAAACCUUAUAAAUGUAAAGAAUGUG